rnacentral:lncRNA from 1 species
UGGUGUAAAAGGUGAUUAUCAUUAGGGUUCCUAAAACAUGUAUUUAUAGUGCUUAAGACAUCUCUGAGCGUCACUUAGGGUUUCUUCAAAUGAGGAAAUCAUUUUGCGCUUCAGAAAUGGGCCUUCGGGUUCGGAGUUAGCUGGCCGCGGUCGGGAAGUGCGUGACCGCAGGGAAUGGAUGGCUGGCCGCGGGGAAUGGCCUGUUGGCCGCGGGUAGAAACGCUUGCCGGCUGGUUUAC